UCGUAGCAAGUGUUUUGAUAUAGCUAUCAAUAAUCUCAUCUCUUGUAGGAUCACCCUCAGGCUUCUCCAUCACAACAAGCCAGUGCUCAAAAUCACAUCCAUCAAGCAAAAUCGUCUCCUUCGGUGGACGAUUAGACCAGUUCGGGUUCGGGUCAUUCAACGACGAGGACGUUUGACGAGUCGCGAAACCUCUCAACGACGUCGCCGCCGUUAACGUUGCCGGAGUAAAGGUUCGGAGAUUCGCUGCCACGGCGAUGAGUGGACGAAAACGGAGGAGAGAGAAAGAAGAUGGAAGAGGUGUAGAGAGAGAAAGAGGAAUGUAUGAGCGAGAGAGAGUAGUGAGUAGAGAACGAGUA
rnacentral:lncRNA from 1 species